rnacentral:rRNA from 1 species
UACGUAGGUGACAAGCGUUGUCCGGAUUUACUGGGCGUAAAGAGCGCGCAGGCGGUCGUUCAAGUCGAGUGUGAAAGCCCCCGGCUCAACUGGGGAGGGUCAUUCGAUACUGAUCGACUCGAAGGCAGGAGAGGGUAGUGGAAUUCCCGGUGUAGUGGUGAAAUGCGUAGAUAUCUGAAGGAACAUCAGUGGCGAAAGCGACUUCCUGGACCAAUACUGACGCUCAUGUGCGAAAGCGUGGGGAGCAAACAGG